rnacentral:rRNA from 1 species
CCUACGGGAGGCAGCAGUGAGGAAUAUUGGUCAUUGGGCGCGAGCCUGAACCAGCCAAGUAGCGUGAAGGUUGACUGCCCUACGGGUUGUAAACUUCUUUUUUAAAGGAUUAAAGUGAGGCACGUGUGCCUUUUUGUAUGUACUUUAUGAUUAAGGAUCGCCUAACUCCGUGCCAGCGGCCGCGGUAAUACGGAGGAGCCGAGCGUUAUCCGGAUUUAUUGGGUUUAAAGGGAGCGUAGAUGGGUUGUUAAGUCAGUUGUGAAAGUUUGCGGCUCAACCGUAAAAUUGCAAUUGAUACUGGCAGCCUUGAGUACAGAUGAGGUAGGCGGAAUGCGUGGUGUAGCGGUGAAAUGCUUAGAUAUCACGAAGAACUCCGAUUGCGAAGGCAGCCUACUAAACUGCCACUGACAUUGAUGCUCGAAAGUGUGGGUAUCAAACAGGAUUAGAUACCCUAGUAGUC